GCUUUUAAAAGAUAAUAGUUAAUCCAUUGGUCUUAGGCACCAAAUACUCGUGAUGCAAGUCCACGUAAAAGCU
rnacentral:tRNA from 1 species